GGACGAACGCUGGCGGCGUGCCUAAUACAUGCAAGUCGAACGGUCUUUCUAUGGAAGCUUGCUUCCACUGAGAAGAUAGUGGCGGACGGGUGAGUAACACGUGGGUAACCUGCCCAUAAGAGGGGGGAUAACAUCCGGAAACGGGUGCUAAUACCGCAUAGUUUUCUUGAUCGCAUGAUUGAGAAAGGAAAGACGGCCUUUGUGCUGUCGCUUAUGGAUGGACCCGCGGCGUAUUAGUUAGUUGGUGAGGUAACGGCUCACCAAGACGAUGAUACGUAGCCGACCUGAGAGGGUGAUCGGCCACAUUGGGACUGAGACACGGCCCAAACUCCUACGGGAGGCAGCAGUAGGGAAUCUUCCGCAAUGGACGAAAGUCUGACGGAGCAACGCCGCGUGAGUGAAAGAAGGUUUUCGGAUCGUAAAACUCUGUUGUCAGAGAAGAACAAGUCGGAGAGUAACUGCUCCGGCCUUGACGGUAUCUGACCAGAAAGCCACGGCUAACUACGUGCCAGCCGCCGC
rnacentral:rRNA from 1 species